UGGCGGACGGGUGAGUAACACGUGGGAAUUUGCCCAGGAGUGGGGAAUAACGUUUGGAAACGAACGCUAAUACCGCAUACGCCCUUCGGGGGAAAGGCUUCGGCCGCUCUUGGAUAAGCCCGCGUCAGAUUAGCUUGUUGGUGAGGUAACGGCUCACCAAGGCGACGAUCUGUAGCUGGUCUGAGAGGAUGAUCAGCCACACUGGGACUGAGACACGGCCCAGACUCCUACGGGAGGCAGCAGUGGGGAAUAUUGGACAAUGGGGGAAACCCUGAUCCAGCCAUGCCGCGUGAGUGAAGAAGGCCCUAGGGUUGUAAAACUCUUUCAGUCGUGACGAUGAUGACGGUAGCGACAGAAGAAGCCCCGGCUAACUCCGUGCCAGCAGCCGCGGUAAU
rnacentral:rRNA from 1 species